AGAAGUGAUAAAUUUUUCAUUUACAAUGAAAGUAACCUUUUAGGCACUUUUA
rnacentral:tRNA from 1 species